rnacentral:rRNA from 1 species
GAUGAGCGCUAGCGGCAGGCCUAACACAUGCAAGUCGAGGGGUAGAGGUUGCUUGCAACCUUGAGACCGGCGCACGGGUGCGUAACGCGUAUGCAAUCUGCCUUGUACUGAGGGAUAGCCCAGAGAAAUUUGGAUUAAUACCUCAUAGUAUCUUUUCCCGGCAUCGGGAGAUUAUUAAAGUUCCAACGGUACAAGAUGAGCAUGCGUCCCAUUAGCUAGUUGGUAUGGUAACGGCAUACCAAGGCAAUGAUGGGUAGGGGUCCUGAGAGGGAGAUCCCCCACACUGGUACUGAGACACGGACCGGACUCCUACGGGAGGCAGCAGUGAGGAAUAUUGGUCAAUGGGCGCAAGCCUGAACAAGCCAUGCCGCGUGCAGGAUGAAGCAUCUAUGGUGUGUAAACUGCUUUUAUACGGGAAGAAACACCGGUUCGUGAACCGGCUUGACGGUACCGUAAGAAUAAGGAUCGGCUAACUCCGUGCCAGCCGCCGCCGUAA